AUUGAACGCUGCUGCAGGCUUAAAACAUUCAAGUCGAGCGAGCGGCGGACUGGUGAGUAAUGCUUAGGCAUCUGCCUAUUAGUGGGGGACAACAUCUCGAAAGGGAUGCUCAUACCGCAUACUAAUAGAUGCGCCUAAGUCGGAUUAGCUAGUUGGUGGGGUAAAGGCCUACCAAGGCCACGCUCUGUAGCGGGUCUGAGAGGAAGAUCCGCCACACUGUGGCGGAGAGCCGGCCCCGAAACCUGCGGGAGGCAGCAGUUGGGAAUAUUGGACAAUGGGGGGAACGCUGGUCUAGCCAUGCCGCGUGUGUGAAGAAAGCCUUAUGGUUGUAAAGCACGUUAAGCUAGGGGGCGUUACUCGCAGAAUAAGCACCGGCUAACUCUGUGCCAGCAGCCGCGGUAAUUC
rnacentral:rRNA from 1 species